CGGACGUCUCCUAAUUAGAGUGAGUAAUGAGACAGGCGUCCGAGCGUCACAACCGGGCCAUGAUGCAGACCCCCCCCCGCUACGCUCCACUACGCUCACUUAAAACACCCGGCUGGUUUCAUCUGUGCUCCUCUCGCGCAUCACCACGGAGCGAACCAUAUUUUAAAUAAUUAGGAAGAAAAACACACACACACGCGGAAAUGACCAGACGUCCCAGUUAUUAAAUACGGUUGGUGGACGGUGGGUCUCGCUGCCCCCGAGGGACGGCUGAGCACUUCAUGCUGUUUCCGAAGCCGUUUAGCGAGGUGUAAUUCAUGCGAAAAGUUUGGAUUAAAGCCAAAACAGGCAGCCAUGCAUCGCGUGGCUGCGCUGGGCUGGGCUAGGCUUCACGCGGAGGUGCGGCGGCCGCGGUCGUUGACCUGGAAGUCAUGAGACGUGUGAGAGCAGCAGCGGCGAGCGAUGAGGCCCAGCCGCCCAGCCACGGACAACAACAACGGAAUUUCACAAAGUAAACAGAGACAGGAACGGCGUUGUGCGAAUCUGCCGAUUUAUAAAUCACACGCGGUAACAGCAACGCCGUUUAGGAAACAGAACACUCGGCCAGUCGGUUUGUAGGGCUGAGUCGGAGGGGCCGUCUCAGCAGUGGUCCAGAGGUGCAAACACACAAGUCGUCACCUAUAGACGUUUCCUUCACACCUCCUCGGUGUUGGAUCCUCUCGCUGCGCCCGCCUGCCCUGCUCGCGGCCUCAGUCUGUGGGAGCGGCUGCUCUCGCCGUGACCGUGCCCUGACCCCAGGCUGAAUCAAUAUCUUUAGCUCUUCUUUUCUCUGCUCCCGAAAACACGAAUUCUAAAGCGCCUUCACCGGGCGGGGAGGCACCUGAACACGACGGAGUGAGAGGCAACGGGGGCUUCAUUUGUGUUUUGGUGUUGAUUUCAUGUUAACUUCACUUGAGUAUCUUUUUGCCUAACUGUAACGUGUAUUGUGCUGGUGAACCUUGUGUGGACAGAUGGCUUAACGGUGCGUAGUGAGUACGGGCGUCGGAUCUUCUAGCGUGCUGGUCCCAGUCUCUUAGCAAACUGGUUGUGAAAAAAAUUGUUUCAAAACUCUUUGGUGGUGUAGUGUACAUAGGUAUCACGCCGCCCGACACGUUAAGCAUGAAUUCCAAAGAUUAUUGGUAGAUACUGUUUACUGUUUUUUCUGAGAUGUUAGUGCUGGCUCCUCUGGCGGGAGGAAGUGGGGUGUGUGGGGGGGGGGUCUCAAAAGAACUGGAAGGACACGGACACUCUUCAUCUUUUACACACUGAACACCUGCAGAAGACCAAUGCCUUGAGACCACGUCUGAGCGGGCUUCUAGUUGUUAUCCUAACCGUUGGUAUAUUUAUAUAGGACUCAAAAUGCUUGUGAUGCCAUGUCUUUGUACAGUUUUAUGUACAUAUAAAGUGAAGCUUUCUAAAAGUUCUGACCGAGAAAAUUCGGAUGGCAUAUAAAAAUUGUAACAUUGUUUUCUUGAUACGUGCACAUCUUGCCUUGGUUGGGGUGGACGACUGCAGAGUCCCAGUGAAUGUGGCCGUUCUAUGCCUGCACAGAAGUCACACACACACACACACACACACACACGUACACACACACACACACACACACACACACACACACACACACACACACACACACACACACACACACAGGCACUCCUGAGGACUUUGAAUUCAGAUUUUAUGUUUCUCGUGAACAGUGGAUUGUCUUAUCCUACCAGUUUGUUAAAUUCCUGUUCUGCUUCGUUCCGUUUUCGCAUGUUGACAAAAAUCCUUGUAAUAAUGUAAGUCCUCAUGAAAUUUGUAAUAAAAUCACU
ensembl:lncRNA